rnacentral:rRNA from 1 species
AUGGUGCAGAGGUACCCACAGAACAAGAACAAAGGGAAGAACAAACCUGUUUUUAACAACGCUAGCAAUACUGAUGGGUAUGGUAAUUUACCUAUUGUGCUUUCAGUAUUUCAAUCAUCUUCGUGGUGGAUUGAUUCGGGUGCUAACGUUCAUGUGUGUGCUGGCAUCUCCCUGUUUACUUCUUAUCAGGUCGCAAGGGAUUCUUCCGUCCUAAUGGGGAAUGGGUCACAUGCUUCUGUUCGUGGCAUUGGCACGGUGGAUCUGAAGUUUACUUCGGGAAAGAUUGUGCAACUAAAGAACGUGCAGCAUGUCCCUACUAUGAACAAGAAUCUAGUUAGCGGCUCCCUUCUAUGUCGAGAUGGAUUUAAGGUAGUUUUAGAGUCCAAUAAAGUAAUCGUGUCAAGAUUUGGACAAUUUAUAGGAAAAGGCUAUGAGUGCAGAGGCUUGUUCCGCUUUUCUCUUUCAGAUUUUUGCAAUAAGUCAAUAAACCAAAUUUGUGCUAGUGUUAAUGAUGAUGCAAGUAUUUGGCACUCUCGUUUAUGUCAUAUUAAUUUUGGUUUAAUGUCUCGGCUAUCCAGCAUGAGUUUAAUUCCGAACUUCACAGUUACCAAAGGUUCUAAGUGCCAUAGUUGUGUGCAAUCUAAGCAACCUCGAAAGCCUCAUAAGGCUGCCGAGGAGAGAAACUUGGCACCUCUAGAACUCAUACAUUCUGAUCUUUGUGAGAUGAAUGGUGUGUUGACAAAAGGUGGAAAGAGAUAUUUCAUGACUUUGAUUGAUGAUGCGACUAGAUUUUGCUAUGUUUAUUUGUUGCAAACUAAAGAUGAAACAUUAGACUACUUUAAAAUCUAUAAAGCUGAAGUUGAAAAUCAACUAGAGAGAAAGAUCAAGCGUCUUAGGUCCGAUCGUGGUGGAGAGUAUUUUCCAAAAGUUUUUGAUGAAUUUUGUGAGGAAUAUGGUAUUAUUCAUGAGAGGACGCCUCCCUAUUCACCUCAAUCAAAUGGAGUGGCCGAGAGGAAAAACCGCACAUUGACUGACUUGGUGAAUGCCAUGUUAGACACUGCUGGUUUAUCUAAGGCAUGGUGGGAGGAGGCUCUAUUGACUUCAUGUCAUGUCCUGAAUAGAGUUCCCAACAAUAAUAAAGAGAAAACCCCUUAUGAGGAGUGGGUUGGGAGAAAACCAUCACUUUUUAUUUGCGCACUUGGGGAUGUUUGGCAAAGGUCAAUAUUCCUAUUCCUAAGAAACGCAAACUUGGACCAAAGACAGUGGAUUGUGUCUUUCUAG